CAGCACGAAUCACGAAGCUGCACCCCUACCCCUCAGUCGUAAAGCCCCACCGACCUCGGGGAGGCCGCCCAUAUCCCUUGUGGAAUGAUUAAAACCCUAACGGCCCUGGGAGUCCCCUUCCUUUCUUCGCCGAACCGAAAGCGGAGCAUCGACUCGAAGCCACAACGGACUCACAGGACGCUGGAUGGUUUAAUCGUUGAUUUGUUCCAUAUGGUGGUCAUCUUGUUCAAGCACUGGGGAGUAAUAUGAUAAGAAGGAUGACUUGAUUACAUGGAGCGUCAGUAAUCUCAUUUUUCAACUGGAAUAGAUGAUAUGGUGAAGAUGGUGUUCACGCAGCAGUGCGCGAGUGACAUUUGUUGCUCUUAUGGAUCAUCAUUCCCAUUUCGCUCAAUCCAUGCGUAUGGUUCUCAGGCAUGUUCAUCUACGGCGCUCUCUGUGGUUCAUGUGGAUUACUCGAAGAAGCUCAAGCUUAAGCAUGACAUACAGCUUGAUAGUUCUGCAGCUCUCCGAGUUGGCCCUGCGGGGACGGUUGAUGGAAGCAACAAAAGCAACUAUAAUUCAGAAAAGGCAACACCAGUCAAUUAUGCUAAACCCCUGCGAUUAUCAACUUCCAAUGCAAGUGGCUCGACCCUUGAUGGGUAUCAUGUGGAGCAUGAUGAGACCUCCAAUAAUGAUGUCCUUUGUAAUCUCUGUGAGAAUGGAAAACUCAUGGAAGCCUGCAAUUUGGUUGAUGUUAUGGCUCGGUUAAGUCAGGUACCAGAUCUCCAAUCAUGCGUGAACCUGAUUCGUGGUUUGAUCAAUGUUGAUAGGAUUGAGAAGGCCGUUCGUGUUCUUCAGGUGAUGAUUUUAUCUGGUGGGGUUCCAGACAUAAUCACGUAUAACAAAUUAAUCGGUGGUCUCUGCAGGAGAGGUCAGCUGAAUUCUGCAAUCAAACUAGUUGAAGAUAUGGGUUUCUGUGGUUGCCCUCCAGACGUGAUUACAUUUAACACUUUAUUUAGGUCCAUGUUUGAGCAUGGUAAGUAUGAUGAGGCAAUCUGGUUUUGGAAAGAUCAGUUAAGGAAAGGUUAUCCGCCAUAUCUCAUUUCUUACACAAUUCUUCUCGAACUCGUGUGCAAAUACUGUGGUAUUCGGCGAGCCAUGAAUGCUAUGGAAGAUUUGGCCUUUGACGGAUGCCAUCCUGACCUUGUGACCUUUAAUUCUCUUAUCAAUUUGAUAUGCAAAAGGGGUAAAUUUGAGGAUGUGGCAAUGGUUGUAGGUGGCCUUAUGUCACAUGGUCUGGAGCCCAAUGCAGUCACCUAUAACACCUUACUUCACUCAUUCUGUAUUAAGGGAAAGUGGGCUGAAGCUGAUGAUAUGCUUUUUAUCAUGAAGGAAGCUUCAUACCCUCCAACUGUGGUUACAUACAAUAUCUUAAUCAACAGCUUGUGCAAAUACCAGAUUCUAGAUCGGGCAAUUGAUGUCUUGCAUAAAAUGUUAAAUGAGGGAUGUUCCCCAGAUAUAGUCACUUACAACACCCUUCUUGCAGCAAUGUGUAAAGUGGACAUGAUAGAAGAGGCUCUAAAUAUACUUCAUAGUCUUAGGGAUAAUGGAUAUUCUCUGGUUGUCAUAUCAUAUAACACCUUGAUAGAUGGAUUAGCAAAGAAGGGUGAGAUAAAGAAAGCAAUGGUUUUGUUUGAUGAGAUGGUCAAUGAUGGUAUUACUCCUGAUGAUAUCACUUAUGGUUCUCUAGUUAUGGGAUUUUGCAAGCAAGGCAUGGUGCAUGAAGCAGUAGAGAUGCUACAAGAGAUGGUUAAGAUCAACUGCAGGAUUAGAGGCAGCACUUUUACCCUUGUGAUACAGGCACUAUGCAGAAAUGGAAAGCUAGAUACUGCUAUUGAGAUUGUAAGUAUAAUGGUAUCAAGAUAUAGUAAACCCAGUAAAGCAGGAUACACAUCACUAGUUAGAGCAGUUGCAGCCUCUGGAAUGACUGAGGCAGCUACCAAACUGCGCAAGGUGUUUAUCGAGCACAAGAUCCUUAAAGAGGACUCUUAGAUUGUUCAGUUUAGAAACUGCGGAUAUGCUGAUAUGAAUGCAGACCCUUUGAACAUGUGUUUGGCAUCAGUGUUUUGGAUGGUUAUUUAUCUUCUUUUCUAAGAGUUCGAGUGGUGAAGAAGCAGAUGAUGGCCAGAUGUACUUGAUCAUGGAGCAUAUUUUGAUGAUAGCUACACUAAAUUGUGCAUAAAACUGGUGAUCAGCUGAUCUGCAUCGUUUUCAUUCAUGAAACACUACUUCAAUCUUCAUGUGGUUAAAGGGGGUAAGGUGUGGUCUUAAUGGCUUGCUUCAGACUAAUCUCAAGAGUGACAUUACUAGAAGGAAGAUUGAAGCUCUGAUGUGUAUGAUGAUGACCAGAUGAAACUGAUCAUAGAGCUUAUCGACUUCAAUCUUCACGUAGUCGAAGCGGUGAAGAAGCAGGUUAAUUGACUUACCAUCAGGCAAAUCUCAAGAAUGAUACACGAGAAGAUGAAGAUGGUUAUAGAAAUAAUUUUGAUGCUUUCAUGUAGCAAAAUCUAGAUUGGGUGUUGCAUUCUUGA